AGAGUUUGAUCAUGGCUCAGGAUGAACGCUGGCGGCGUGCCUAACACAUGCAAGUCGAACGGUCGAUGAAUAAUCGAUAGUGGCGAACGGGUGAGUAACACGUAGUUUACCUGCCCCGAAGAGGGGGAUAACGUUCCGAAAGGAAUGCUAAUACCCCAUAAGCUCACAUCGAAUAGUAAGGUGUGAGAAAAGGAGUAAUCCGCUUUGGGGUGGGGCUGCGACCCAUCAGCUAGUUGGUGAGGUAAAGGCUUACCAAGGCGAAGACGGGUAGGGGACCUGAGAGGGUGACCCCCCACACUGGGACUGAGACACGGCCCAGACUCCUACGGGAGGCAGCAGUGAGGAAUAUUGCCCAAUGGACGCAAGUCUGAGGCAGCAACGCCGCGUGGGUGAUGAAGGUUUUCGGAUCGUAAAGCCCUUUUCUAGGUGACGAGGAAGGACGGUAGCCUAGGAAUAAGCGUCGGCUAACUACGUGCCAGCAGCCGCGGUAAAACGUAGGACGCAAGCGUUAUCCGGAAUUACUGGGCGUAAAGCGCGUGCAGGCGGGUUAACAAGUCAUCUGUGAAAGCUCUCGGCUAAACUUGGGGAGUGUGAAUGAUACUGGCGGUCUAGAGUGAGGAAGAGGAGUGUGGAAUUCCACGUGUAGUGGUGAAAUGCGUAGAUAUGUGGAGGAACACCGGUGGCGAAGGCGACACUCUGGGUCGUAACUGACGCUGAGACGCGAAAGCAUGGGGAGCGAACGGGAUUAGAAACCCCGGUAGUCCAUGCCGUAAACGAUGCAUACUAGAUGUUCGUUAUCGAGAGGUAAUGGGUAUUGAAGCUAACGCGAUAAGUGUACCGCCUGGGGAGUACGGUCGCAAGGCUAAAACUCAAAGGAAUUGACGUGGGCCCGCACAAGCAGCGGAGCGUGUGGUUUAAUUCGAGGCUACGCGAAGAACCUUACCAGGGUUUGACAUGGCGGGACAUCUGGUGAAAGCCAGACUUCCCGCAAGGGACACAAAGACAGGUGCUGCAUGGCUGUCGUCAGCUCGUGCCGUGAGGUGUUCGGUUAAGUCCGCAAACGAGCGCAACCCCUGUUGUUAGUUACAAGUGUCUAACGAGACUGCCCGUGACAAGCGGGAGGAAGGUGGGGAUGACGUCAAGUCAGCAUGGCCUUUAUGUCCAGGGCUACACACACGCUACAAUGGUCGGUACAAUGGGUCGCCAAGGAGCAAUCCGGAGCCAAUCCUCUAAAGCCGAUCUCAGUUCGGAUUGUAGGCUGCAACUCGCCUGCAUGAAGUCGGAGUUGCUAGUAACCGCAGGUCAGCACACUGCGGUGAAUACGUUCCCGGGCCUUGUACACACCGCCCGUCACGUCAUGGAAGUCGGUCAUGCCUGAAGUCGGGAAGUUAACCGUAAGGGGACUACCGCCGAAGGCGGGGCUGGUGACUGGGACGAAGUCGUAACAAGGU
rnacentral:rRNA from 1 species